UGAGGAAUCUUGCGCAAUGGGGGAAACCCUGACGCAGCCACGCCGCGUGGGUGAAGAAGGCCUUCGGGUUGUAAAGCCCUGUCAGGUGGGAAGAACCGCAGUCUGGCCAAUACCUGGACUGCUUGACGGUACCACCAAAGGAAGCACCGGCUAACUCCGUGCCAGCAGCCGCGGUAAUACGGAGGGUGCAAGCGUUGUUCGGAAUUACUGGGCGUAAAGCGCGUGUAGGCGGACCGGUAAGUUGGGAGUGAAAGCCCUGGGCUCAACCCAGGAAGUGCUUCCAAUACUGCCGGCCUUGAGUUCCGGAGAGGGUGGUGGAAUUCCCCGGUGUAGAGGUGAAAAUUCGUAGAUAUCGGGAGGAACACCAGUGGCGAAGGCGACCACCUGGACGAGAACUGACGCUGAGACGCGAAAGCGUGGGGGGCCAAACAGGAUUAGAUACCCUGGUAGUCCACGCCGUAAACGGUGUUCACUAGGUGUAGCGGGUAUUGACCCCCCGCUGUGCCGCAGCUAACGCAUUAAGUGAACCGCCUGGGGAGUACGG
rnacentral:rRNA from 1 species